rnacentral:rRNA from 1 species
GUGCCAGCCGCCGCGGUAAUACGAACUGUGCGAACGUUAUUCGGAAUCACUGGGCGUAAAGCGUGCGCAGGCGGUUUUGUAAGACAGUGGUGAAAUCCCCGGGCUCAACCUGGGAACUGCCAUUGUGACUGCAAGGCUAGAGUGCGGCAGAGGGGGAUGGAAUUCCGCGUGUAGCAGUGAAAUGCGUAGAUAUGCGGAGGAACACCGAUGGCGAAGGCAAUCCCCUGGGCCUGCACUGACGCUCAUGCACGAAAGCGUGGGGAGCAAACAGGAUUAGAUACCCUGGUAGUCCACGCCCUAAACGAUGUCAACUGGUUGUUGGGAAUUUACUUUCUCAGUAACGAAGCUAACGCGUGAAGUUGACCGCCUGGGGAGUACGGCCGCAAGGUUGAAACUCAAAGAAAUUGACGG